AUGCAUGGAUUGUCUUUUAUUUUAUCUAUCUAUCUAUCUAUCUAUCUAUCUAUCUAUCUAUCUAUCUAUCUGAUAGAUAGAUAGAUAGAUAGAUAGAUAUCUGAAGAUGGCAAUGAGGUUCAGAGAGGA
rnacentral:miRNA from 1 species